UACGGAGGGUGCAAGCGUUGCUCGGAAUUAUUGGGCGUAAAGGGCAAGUAGGUGGUCUCAUUUGUCUGGGGUGAAAUCCUUGGGCUUAACUCAAGAAGUGCCCCAGAAACGGUGAGACUAGAGUCCUAGAGAGGGUCGUGGAAUACCCGGUGUAGCGGUGAAAUGCGUAGAGAUCGGGUGGGACACCAGAGGCGAAGGCGGCGACCUGGAUAGGUACUGACACUCAACUGCGAAAGCGUGGGGAGCAAACAGG
rnacentral:rRNA from 1 species